CCGAGCUCCCCGCCCCCGUCUCCACCACUGACCAAGCUCUUCAGAGAAACUUUUAGAUGGACUUAUCACAACUGCCCUUGAUUUCACAUUGCGAAAAUGAAUGUUCGUUGACACAUGAACAAGUUGAAGAUAUUGUUCCCAUUGAAAUAGACCCUCAAAAUGCUAAUGAACAGUUGAAAGAUGAUAGUUUGGUCAAUUGUCGUUCGAAGCACAAGCUUAUAGAUGAAGAAAAAAAUGUUAAGGAACCUAAGGAGGGUAUGUUAUUUGGCUCCACAGAGGAACUUCUUGAAUAUUAUAGAAAUUAUGCGAAGCAAGAGGGUUUUGGUGUGG